AAAAAAACACUCCUUGCUGCUCAGGAGCAUGUGCUGCAGGACAAACUUCCAGUCUCAUCAGUUCCUUGCUCACAGUGGCCACACAAGAGCCUGCACACCCAGGGAGAGGACACGAUGUAGUUGUGGGAAGGCGGAGCAGGCAGGCAUUACGUACGUGCAGAAACCCAGUGACUGCAACAACGCUGCUCUCACGGGGGAAGCAUGCUGGGUCUGGCCAGUUUCAACCUGCAGUUUGGUGAUAAGAAAACAACUUUUAUGUCAGUGAAAUCAGCUCCAGGAAGAACAGGGUGGUGGAGUGGACGUGAGCAUACAGGAGCUGCGGGGUGUCCUGUCCAUGCUGUAACAGGACAGACAGACAUGGAAGGCUGCUGUGCACUUCCCAUCCUUAAAGCCUGAUUGUGAAAGCAGACAAAGAAAAACCUCCUCUCAGGACUGAAAAUCAGAUAUUGAAUGUUUUCCACUGCGACCAUGAGGAAUGACUUCAGAAUCAGUGGAUAAGAGCAGUGUCUUCAGCUUCUUACCUGACUGUUGAGCCUGGUAAAUAUUCAAGUGAAUAUUUGGAUGAGUAGUGCAUCUGAAUCAUGCGUUGCCAGGAGGGAGUAUUUGUAGCUGCCACUGAUGUUUAUAGAAAUGAAGAAACAUAGGAAACUUUGCUUACACGUGAAAAAAAAAAAAAUUCUAAAAGUGUUUAUUCUAGAAGGCAGAGUUUAACUCUUAUUUGAUUAUGCGAUGCUGUAGAUAUUCCACAGGCCCAGGCAGAUCUCCGAAUGUUUUUUCAAGGGCCAUAGUGACCUUUACAUGUUAUGUUUAAUGGCAACUUAGAGAAAAAGAAACAUUAUUUGCAUACAUUCUAGGAUAAUUGAUUAAUCCGUGUUUACAUAUAUAGUGAGUCAUUAGAUAAGUGCUAAAACUCUGAGAAGAUAAUGUUCGUGACUUUGCAAAGUUCUUUUUCAAGGUAAACAAUUCUGUGUUGCUACUGUUGUGUGAUAUUUUUAUACUCAUUGUAUUUAAAGAAGGUGCAUACAAGAAGGAUGUGCUCAAGCACCAAACAAAUUAAAGGAUUAAAGGUGUUUCACUGCUCUUGUUACAGCCAACAUGUUGUGAGAAUUAAUUACUAUAAACAUUUAGCUUCCUAGAGUUCCAUGUAUACACAGUGCUCAGAAAGGUAAUUCAUGUUUUCACAUACUUCUAGGUGCUUAUUUCUGUUAACUUCACAGGCAGACAAUGGAACUAAUUUCCGUGUGCACAGUUAACUAUGCAACUACUGGAAAUUGGAUAAUUUUGUUAACCCCUUUGUAUCUGUUAAGACUGGUGGAAUGUCUUUAGAAAGUGGCUCAGUAUCUUUGUAAAGAGGGGCUUAAAAUUUAUUUUAAUUAGGAGACUUGUGACGAACAUAUACUGUAUAAUAUUAAAUUGCAUAAAAAAGCAGCCAGUUUCUUGUUCAAUAUUACAACAGCAUCCUAGGUCUCACUUUGUCUUUCUGAACUGUAGAUGGACACAUGUAUGUGAACAGGAAAGUAAAUGUACUAUUUUUUCUGCAGUGAGUCUUGUUAUGAGAGACUGCAGAGUUGCAUUAUAACUGCAUGGCCAUAGCGACAAGAUGAUGAAAUCAGUCUUUCGACAGCUGUUGAUACAAGUCACUAUUAUUUCUUUUUUCCUGAUGCUGGUAAUUCUAAAUCUUUUUCCACAGGAUUUGUAAUCUGUGGCAAAUUUUGAAAGCCUUUUUAUCUUUGAAUUGCAACAAAACCAAGCUGAACACAAACUGAAAGUGCUCAAAUCUUCUGGAAAUUGAAAAUGCUGAGUUUUGACAUGCUGUAUGUAGCAGUCUUUCCUCUCGGCAAUACAACCAGACUGAGUCAAUGCUCAAUGCGGUUCUGUGACAACAACAGGAAAACAAUAGUAGGUGAUAUGAAAGACCUAUUUGGCUGUUGGGGUGUGUGUUUGUGGUGGGUGUUGGUCACUUCCGCCUCCCUCAGACUAGUAAUUCAUUUCAAAGGCUUUCUCCAUUUCAUGACCUCAAUGGAGAUGUCUCAGAUGAGAACAUUUCUAAACUUCCCUUGUCAGGUUAUUGCAGUUUUAUAGGCAAACAUUGUAAAUAAUACUUUUGUGAGCACGCUAAGUCCUUAAAAAUAUAUAUAUUUGUUAAAGCUUUUGUGUGAGCUAAUGUGAGCUAAUGCAAGUUCUGCAAUAACCAGAUGAGAUAAAAUGGACUUUCCCUCGGGAAAAAGCAGCCAAGCAAAAUGAAAACCUUUGCACAGCACAGUCAUGGUGAUAACUGUUAGCUCUUGCUUCUCUGCCUUGAAAAUAGAGGCCAGAACAGCUGAUGUUACAGAUGCUUGGAUUUGAUAUUUUUUAUGCCAACAAUUCUUAUCAUCAGUACUUUUCUUUUGUUCACACCCUAGGGUUGAUGUUUUACUGUUACUUGUGUGGCUGGUUUUCCUGGCACAUUAAGAGACAAAUUAAAAUAAGGUUUGGUUUCAUAUUAUAAUGACGACCUUAUUGUCUUGCAUCUAUUUAUGGCUAGUAAUCACUGGAUGACCUUUCUUCUAUUAAUUGUGACUAAACAUUAAAUCUGUUUGUGCUUUAGGCUUCCCCAGUACAUCAUUACAAAAUUUUAUUUUAUAAGUCCUAUGAAAAAAACAUCCUUUACUUUAAAAUUGUAUUGGGUAAUUUGAAUAGCUAUCAAGCUGUGUUGUGAGAAACAGUGACUACUCUAGAGCUUCCGAAUGCCAUCUGGUCAUACCUGCAUCAUGCGGGACUGGAGCAAGCCCUCUGCAACCUGACCUGCUUUACAAUGGGACUUAGCCAGAGACUUCCUGAGGCAUUAGGAACUUGUUUGUCCCACCAGCCCAAUCUCUUCCCAAUUGGCUACUCUUACAUUAUAUUGUUUCUUUUCUGUAGAAAUGGUUCUGCUGCUUUGCCAUCCUCAUCUUUCUGUUUUUACUUUUUCUCUUUUCUUUGUAUCCUUUUUAUAAUGGAUGAGAAACUGGUAAAAGUCCAAGUGUCUCAGUUGCUUGUAUUACUUUUUCCAAGGAAUGCGGCUUCCUUGCAGACCUCUUGCCUUCUGCUGCAAACUGGUUAACAGGCAAUACCAAGAUAAGAUCGAUUUCUGUGAUAUGCUGAGUUUUGCUGUAUACUGUACAUUUGAAUAAUGUACAGUGCAAAGCUGUGCUUACAAGAAGAAAUUCAACAGCCAUAACUUUGCUGUUCUUUAAUAUUGUUUAAUAGUUCUAUCCUAACAGCACUGGUUCACAUUGGACACUAGUCCUGUAGUCAGCUACCCUGGAGAACUGCACUAAGACACCAAGUAAUGGUGCCUGGAAAUAAAUUACUUUGGGUCACUAAUGACUUCUCCUGCUUUUGAACUGAUGAGCUACCAAAGGAUUUUUUUUUUUACUUUAUCUUUAGUUUCAAAAUUCAGCCAGUAUUUGGUAUUUCAUUUUGGGAUUUCAGUUUAUGAAAAGACAAUUAUGGAUUUAAUUUUUUUUCUUUUUUUUUUUGUCAUGUGGAAUGACUGCAUAAAUACCAAAGAAAUAACGUUUCCCAUCAGGAAUGAGACUAGGAAUAUUUGAUGAAUGGGUUUCAGGCUUUGGAUUCAGACAUACCCUGUUCUGCUGAACUCACCCACACACACCUAGACUGUCUGUUAGACAGACCCAAUUGCUGGUAAAAGAAAGAAAUUCAGGACUGAAGAUUCACAAAAGACAGUCUCUGAAAGUUAAAGUUUCUUUAAAUUCAGACUAUUAAUAUAUGCAGUGCAUAAAAAUGGAGUCAGCAACAGUAAAUUAUAUUACAUAUAUAAUCAACUAUGCUAUAGUUUUCGAAAUCUUUUCAGGUGUCAUUAGAAGUCUCCUGGUGCUUGUUUGGAUGCUAGUUUAUAAUGUGCAUAUGCUGUUUAUGAUAUAUACUGCAACAUGAUAAUUCUCAUUUGCGAAACAGUGUUUCAAAGGGAGAUGGUAAUCUGAAAAUUUAUGAUAGACAUAUGAAACCAAACAGACAGAAUUAGUGCAGAUUGCUAAAGGGUUUCGUUUUAAUGGACUUGAAGGCUUUUUCCUACACUGGUGCUUGCAGACUUAGCCACAUCUGGGUGCUGUUGUACUAGCCAGAAGAGGAGCAAACGGAAAAACAAUUAGUCUGUAUAGCUGCAUUUUUCUAGAAGUCAUCAUUUUUUUCCUAGUAAUAACCAGACAGUGUUAGAAUCCAGGGAGUUGAAAAAAAAAUUCUUUUAAAAUUAUUGCUGCUGUUCCAAAAAAUGCUGAAACAAGUGGGCUGUUACGCAACUAUUCAAGAGAUAGAUGAGGGAAGGCAUGGCUAUGAAAAACUUUUCAAGUAUUAUAAUAUAGCUUCUCGCUGUCUAAGCCUGUGUGUUUUUCAUAGAGUCUUCCUAGUCUCCAAUUGCAGGCUUCUGGGCUGCAAAGCAAAGGAAUUUUAUUUUAUUAGAGUUCUCACAGUUCUGGCUUAUGAUGAUGUGGUUACACUCUCCUUUAUGAAGUCCUUUACUCUGCACAGUAUCUUCUUGCUUGAAUGACAGCAUUAAUAUCUGAGAGGUCAGAAAUCAUUUCUGCUUACAAAUUGUACCUUUUUUUUUUGUUGUUCUGUACAUUCAAAACCCUCUAAAAGAUGGAGAAGUCGCUAUUCUAGGCUAUUUAAAGAUGAAUCCUAAAAUUUUCAUCUUAUUUUAUCACUAUCAAGUGACUCAUAUUUCUCCCCCUAUAUGUUAGUAUAAGUCAUAGAUCAUGCAGCUAUAGCAGGCAUUACGACUUCAGAUAUUUUAGGAAGAUUUCCAAAAAUCAAAGCACUUCAGACAUCUGAGAUGAUCUGAAUCAUCCUUUGUAGAUGCACAGCUCUGUUCAUAGAGGAAAAGGUUCCUUUUUGGGACCUCUUAGUCACAGCGAAGUAGGAUUCCUAAAGCAGGAGGAGGAGGAUCAGACAGGAGCUAGACCACGGUUUGCCUGUUUCCCCUGGGAGAAGAUUCCUGGGGUUUGUCAAAGUGUCAAAGUGCUGGCCCUGCCAUGGUGGAAGAUUUCAGUGGCCAGUAGUGCAAAACAGCCCCAACAGAGCUCACAGCAGAAAUUCUUUUGUGGAAAGUGCUCUACUGUGACUGUAGAGACUCUUGUACCCAGUCAGUGUAAUUCAAGGAUGGCCACACUGUUUCGAACCUAAGUUCUUUCCAGCUCUGUACUCAUCUCCUGCCUGGGAAAGAAGCCCUAUCUCCCCAGCCCGACGUGGUUUCACACUCAUAAUGAUUUUUUCCGUGUACUUAUGCAGCUGCCCCAUGUAAUUCUUCCAGCUUAUUCUGGAGAUCAGAAGGUGACAAACAUCUCCCAGCAAUGCACCACACCUGCUGCAAACCUCUUUCUCAUCCUUUGUGGCCCCUUAUGUCUUAUGUCGGAGCACAGUGACCCCCCAAAAAGAGGGUUUUCUCACUGCAUGCUUUAGCACAUCUCAUCCAACUGAUUUGCAAAUGGGCUCCAAGAGGACAGACUGAUGGAUUCCUAUGGUUUUUGUGCCCAUUCACUUUAGUAAGAUCGGAGAUGACAAAUGCAUUGAGCUCGCCUAUGGAUGUCACCUGUUGGUGUGACGCUCCUGGAGACCCUUGCAUCAUCCACGGAAGCUCCUUCCAUGCAGGGACUUGUGUAGUUAUCCGGUGGGUGUGCACUGCGGGGGCUGCUGCAUCCCAAAGGAAGAUGACGUGCUGGACUCUUCCAGCUGUUCCCAACAGCUGGAAAAUCUGUUCUCCUCAUAGGAAAGUGUCUAAAAUGCUUGAGGCCCCUUGUAUGGUUAUUAUCUAAAACACACUUGGCUAUCGCUGACAAAUACAUCUUAAAAAUCUAAAUUGGCAUUUUCUUCCAAACCCUUUGGCAAUGUUUUGUAAUGAGAAAAAUGAGUGCCAUUGGCUCAGCACUUGCAGGUACAAAAUGCUGAGCACUGGGGCACUAUAUGUUCCCCAGGUGGAGAGGGUUAAUCUGCCAUAUAAAGCACACCACAUGUUUUUCCCCUACUGUUGGGAGAGAGACUUUUGUUUCCUUUAAGGUCUUUGUGGCCCAGCUUUCCUGGUCAGAACUGAGUUGGCAGCUUCUGGGGGGAAAAUUCUCUGAAAAAGUGAUCAAAACUCAGUUGGGCUACUCUGCUGCUGGCAAGAGGGGAAAAAGUAAGGGAAAAAAGGCUGAAAAAUAAAAGACCAGGGAAGCGCGGGAAUAGGAACAAGACUGAAAGGAAAUAGGUGACUGUAGUAAAAGGCAAAAGAAGUAGAAGUGGGGGAAAGUGCUGGAAAAAGGGGGUGUGAAAGGCAUGCACAUACCUGUGGUGUCCCUGUGGAUGUGCUGGCCAAUCAUGCUGGCCCAGGGGCAGCCCCCGGUGCAAACGGAGGCCCCAGCACAGCUGCAGCCCUCCUGCUCCGACAGCCGUGGUGCUGGGCUGUACACACAGCUGGGCCUCGACAUACUGCUUGCUUCCGCCACAGCCCGCACUCAGGGCUUGUCUGCCUGACCACACACUGUGCUUUCACUUUUUUUUUCUCCAUCCCAGACCACCUUUCUGCUGCCAUUCUUACUUUACUCUGUUUUUUUUUUUUUUUCUCCUUUUCCUAUACAGUCUCCUUACUUGCUCCAUCUGUGACUCUGCUCCCCUGCCAUUUCUUUCCCUCUACACAUGGAAAAUAUAUGUCACUGAUACUUUGCUUCUCUUCUGUGUUUUAUCUUACAAGAAAGGAAAUCCCUCACAUAAAAGGCUAUGUUUUUCUUAGCUUCCAGACGACAAAACCUGUUCCCCACAAAGGCCUCUGGGCACCCGGACAAUCUAAAUAGCAAUAACUAAUGAAGUAGUGCAGGCACAAAAAAGGUGGGAGAGCUACAGCAUGGGGCAACAGCUUGGGAGUGCACGCAGCCAUCUAACAGGAGGCCAUCAAGGUAUUUCUCCUGAGCUGCAGAAGCUCUUACUUCUUCAAACUUCUCUUAGCUUUCAGGAGUUACUCAUUAACACAUGGGCAGAGCUGUGGGUAUUUCAGCAUGGAAACAAUCUGCAUGUGAGUGAGUUUAACAAGCAGUAGCCACAGAUGGAAGUGUGUUGGCCAGGUCCUUGCAAGGCCUGUCCCACUACCACUGCUAUUUAUACUUCUUUUUCUUUGAUAAUUUAAGGAACACCAUUCAAGUAGUGCAAUGUGAUUUUGGCCAGAGCACUUCUUUUCAGAGCCUGUUGGGCCUGGGAGUGCGCUGUCCUGUCCUGGCAUGCUGUCUCAGCCAGCUGUCCCUAAUAACUACAUUUCAGGCUUUUUUUGCAUGGC